AAGUACAAAAGUUUUUACUAUGACUAUGCAGUGAGGUCCAAACUGUACUAAAUUUGAAGUUCCCUGCCAAAGAGAAAUGUAAGCUUCCCUGGUGGUAUAAGUCAGAAUUUCAUGACAUCAGCCAGAUAACCACAAAAGAAUAUAUCUUUUAGUGCUAGAUGCUUCUAAGCCUUUCUCCACCCAACUAACCAACAUUCACUUACUGAUUUACUUAUUUCUUUAACAAACACACUCCAUUUCAUAGCCACAUUCUUUCAAAGCUGACAGGUUGAGAUAUAUCUAAAACACAAAAUCUCCAACAUACAUUUUCUUCUUCAAUGUUGUGAGAUGUAUUUUUCUAAAACACUGUUCUGCACAUACUACCAUUCCAAUAUUAAAAACAAGUUAGUUAUCCACUGCCUUUUUUGUACAAAUGAAAUUCAUAAAUUUUAAUUUGGUUACAAAAAAAUUUUUCAUCAAAAUUUUUGCUUAUUUGUUUAUAUAAAAAUGGAGACAGGGUCUCACUAUGUUGCCCAGGCUGGCCUCAAACUCCUAAGCUCAAGUGAUCUUCCCACCUUGACCUCCCAAAGUGAUAGGAUUACAGGCAUGCGAUACCAAGCCUGGUAUAAUUUAAAUUUUUAAUUAAAAAUUGUUAAUUUGUCUACAAAAUAAAUAUAUACUCAUCAUCAAAAACUUUCAAAGAAGAAGAUUAAAAUCACCAUAAUUCCAACACCCAGACACAAUCACAAUCACUUCUGUAAGUUAGGAUAUACUGACAGCCUAUGUGACAGGGAAAAAACUAAGUUGUAAGAAUUUUUUAAAAACCUCCUAUUCCCCAUUACAGUAGAUUUUAUUACUCAAAAUAUUUGCUGCCCCACCCUGGGGAAGAUAAUACUUCCCCACUUCAUUGCAUCAGCCUUAGAGAUGUGGUUUGAGGUGUCCCUUCUUGUGGGAGGAUUACAUAUUCUCAUCUCCUUGACCUCAAGAGUGGCCAUGAGACUUGCUUUGACCAAUGCAAUGAUAACAGAAGUGAUGUGUGCCACUUCGAAGCAGAAGCUCUGAUUCAUCAUAUGGUUCUACUAUGUUCGUUCUCUCUUCCAUGAAACCAGCAAUAUCCCAAAUACAGACUGCUGGUCCCAGGAUGGAAAACUUAGAGCAAAGCUACCGGUAGCCCACAAUGUGAGCAAGAACUGAACUUUAGUCAUUGUAAGCCACUGAGGGUUUUGGAGUUGCUUGUUACCACAGCAUAACUUAGCCGACACUGACUGAUACCACCUACCUCCAAAAUGUCAUCUGAGUUUUCUUUAUGUCUGAAGAGAGCCUUUAUGCAUUGAAAUAAAUACUCCCUUUAAUUUCAACUUAUAUUUUAUAUAUUUAAAUUAUAUGUUUUAAAACUUAAUUUUGAAGACUUUAAACUUGUGUUAAUUUAUAAAUCAGUUUUGUUAAUAUUUUAUUAUCUACUUUUAUUUGGUUUUGAUGAAUGCCCAACUGGCUUGUAAAUUUGAUAAGGUACUCCCAAAUAUUUAUCAAACUUUCAGAAUUAAGUUUUAGACAUUUCAAACUACAAUCUAAUUUUAAUUGAUUUCUCAAGGAAAAAAACAACAAAGCAGACUCACAUUUCUAUAGGCAAAAUCUUAAUAAACACUGAAAACAUACUGAACUUAAAAAGUUUAACCUUACAAAUUUAAUAAAUUAUAAAUUUAAAGAUUUAACAAUUUAAACAUUUGAACAUUAUUUCAAACUUAGUUAUCAACAUCUUAUAAAUUUUUACUAAUAUUUUGAGUCUAAUGAAUCAGUCUCUUUACUUACCUUAAAAAGCAGAAAAAUAUACACAAAAUACUAUAAUGGUUACAAAACUUAUUUCUAGAUAAAAUUUAUGACUAGACAUAACUUAGCUUGUCUUCCAAGGGUCUUUGAAAGUAUGUUUGUUUUCUGGCAAUAAGAAGAUAUUUCCAGACUCAUCUUGAUAUUUCCUGCCGUAAAACAUGCAAUGAAUUUUUCUCCAGGGAGCCCAGUGCCCUCAGGGUCUUCUGGCUGGAAUGCAGAUUAGAUGGAUUGGCAAAGCAGCUGCUGGGGCCACAAGGGGAAACCAGAAAUCCACAGUAAUCUUUGACCUGACGUCCUUGAGCUGCUGAACCAACAUCCCAGAUUGGCUUUCUUUCUAUGUCUGUGAUGCUUAAAACAGUCACUAACAACAUCUUUCAAGUUUCCAAACUCCUUGGUUCAAGACAGCAGCCAUUUCGAAGAAAUUUCCAGAAAGACACUGAUUGUCCAGCUUAGAUGGAAAGUCCACUCUUGGAUCAAUUAACUGAAGCUAUGACAGGAGAGUUGUAUGGAAAACACAUGGCUGCUCCUACUAGAAAACUUCCCAAAAUAUGAAGGAGGGAAAAGCAGGGAGGAGGUGCCGCUGUGAAGACGUAAUGCUUUUUCAGACCCACUCAGGCACAGGGCGCCAGUCCCUGCCCCGGGGACACUGUUCAAAAGAUGGCACUUUCCAGGCUGUAGGCCCACAAAGCCCAGGGGACCGCCGAUAUCAUCACACAGAGAACUCCCGGGUGGGGCAGCAGAGGGGAGCGACCAGCGUACACAGGUACAACAGCACGCAUAUCCAGCAGGAGGCCAUCUUGACCCAGAAGAUGGACCAGCUCCCGCUGAAGAAGCUCUCGAUGUUGGCACUUUCGUAGCUGUGGAAACAAGACACCUAGCCGCGGUCAAAGCAGGAAUAUAUUGAGAUACAAUUCACUAAUUCACAUCCAU
rnacentral:lncRNA from 1 species